rnacentral:tRNA from 1 species
GGGGAUUUAGCUUAGCGGCAUAAGUGCCUGCCUUGCAAGCAGCGGUUGUGAGUUCAAUCCCCA